rnacentral:rRNA from 1 species
GUGCAGCAGUCGCGAAUCCUUCGCAAUGUGCGAAGCAUGACGAGGCGACGCCGCGUGGAAGAUGAAGCCCUGCGGGUGUAAUUCCUUUAUAGGGGAAGAACUUUGUGACUGUACCCUAUGAAUAAGGAGCUACUAAUCACGUGCCAGCAGUAGCGGUAAUACGUGAGCUCCGGAGCGUUUAUCCGGAUUUACUGGGCGUAAAGCGUUCGUAGGCGCUCUGUUAAGUUUCUGUUAAAUCUCUAAGGGCCCAACCUUAGAGCUGCAGAAAACUGGCAGGGUAGAGGAUGUCAGGGGCUGAUGGAACUCUC